GCAUCAAGAACCCCAGUCAGCUGGGUGUGCUGGUGCCAGCCUGGGGACAGGCAGUGCUACAGCAGAGAGGAUAUCCAGACGGGUCAUUUCCAUUUGUCCUGGGGCCUGUCUCUACAGCUCUGCCACACUU
rnacentral:snoRNA from 1 species